rnacentral:lncRNA from 1 species
UCAUUUUUGUCCAUAUUUCAGAGUACACUUCUUCUUCUUACAUAUUAAAAAGUUAACUGUAAAACAGCCUCAGGCAGGUCUCUCAGGAAGUGUUCCAGAAGAAGGCCUUUUGUCCUAAGAGAUGACAGCUUCAUGCAUGUUAUUGCCCCUGAAGACCUUUCAGCAGGACAGGCUGUGGAGGCAGAAGACAGUGAUGUGGAUGAUCCUGAGCCUGGGUGGGCCUACGGGUUGGUCAUUUAUGAAGACUACAGAAAAGGAUUUCUCAGGGGGAACUGUUGAAUGGACUGAAAGUUACUGCAAACCCUCUCCUCCUGGGCUUCAGUACCCCAGAAAGACAGUUGUGCUCUCUGGCUGAUGGGACAGAAGACACUUUUCUUACUUCCUACAAUGCUUCUCCAUCAAAAACUUCCAUUUUUUCUGCUUGAAAAAUAGGAAAAGCCAUCUGAUUAUAUAUGAUCUCUGCUGAUCUGCCUGAGAGGUAUGUGUAUAAAAAUUAUUACAUUUUGUAUUAGUCAUGGUUCUCUAGAGGGACAGAACUAAUAGGAAGAUUUAUAUAUAAAGAGGAGUUUAUUAAGGAGUAUUAACUCACACGAUCACAAGGUCCCACUACAGGCCAUCUGCAAGCUGAGGAGCAAGGAGAGAGAGUCCGAGUCCUAAAGGGGAACAACUUGCAGUCUGAUGUUCAAGGGCAGGAAGCAUCCAGCACCGGAGAAAGAUGUAGGCUCAGAGGUUAAGCCAUUCUAACUCCCCAGGUUCUUCUGCCUGCUUUAAUCUGGCCUCAC